CCUACCCUUCAGCUCAGGAUACCCGAGGGAAACCUUGGCUAAUACUGAAUUAUUCCAUCGGAGACAUCUCCGAUGGCUAAAAGGAGCCUUUAAAGCUUCACUGAUGGAUGGACCUGCGGCGCAUUAGCUAGUUGGUGAGAUAACAGCCCACCAAGGCGAGGAUGCGUAGCCGACCUGAGAGGGUGAACGGCCACACUGGAACUGAGACACGGUCCAGACUCCUACGGGAGGCAGCAGUAGGGAGUUUUCGGCAAUGGGGGAAACCCUGACCGAGCAACGCCGCGUGAGUGAUGAAGAUCUUCGGAUUGUAAAGCUCUGUUGUGGGGGAAGAAUGAUAUUACUAGGAAAUGAGUGAUAUUUGACGGUACCUCAUUAGAAAGCCACGGCUAACUACGUGCCAGCAGCCGCGGUAAUACGUAGGUGGCAAGCGUUAUCCGGAAUUAUUGGGCGUAAAGAGUGAGCAGGUGGCAGGAUAAGUUUGGAGUGAAAGCGUGGGGCUCAACCCCAUACAGCUUCAAAAACUGUUCAGCUAGAGUACGAGAGAAGUAAACGGAAUUCCAUGUGUAGCGGUGAAAUGCGUAGAUAUAUGGAAGAACACCGGUGGCGAAGGCGGUUUACUAGCUCGAUACUGACACUCAGUCACGAAAGCGUGGGGAGCAAAUAGGAUUAAAUACCCUAGUAGUCCACGCCGUAAACUAUGAUAACUA
rnacentral:rRNA from 1 species